CCCUUAUGGGUAGGGCUUCACACGUCAUACAAUGGUCGGUACAGAGGGUUGCCAACCCGCGAGGGGGAGCUAAUCCCACAAAGCCGAUCGUAGUCCGGAUCGCAGUCUGCAACUCGACUGCGUGAAGUCGGAAUCGCUAGUAAUCGUGGAUCAGCAUGUCACGGUGAAUACGUUCCCGGGUCUU
rnacentral:rRNA from 1 species